rnacentral:misc_RNA from 1 species
GGAAGUAAAAGUGUAACAAGGUUUCCGUAGGUGAACCUGCGGAAGGAUCAUUAUUGUAUAACCGAGGUGCGAGGGCUGUCGCUGACCCGAAAGGUCGUGCACGCCCGAGUGCCCUCACACACAUCCAUCUCACCCCUAUGUGCACCACCGCGUGGGUCCCCCUUUGGCUUGUUCGGAGGGGGGCUUACGUUUUCACACAAACUUUGUAUGCAGUGUAGAAUGUAUUUUUUGUUUUUGCGAUCACGCAAUCAAUACAACUUCCAACAACGGAUCUCUUGGCUCUC